UACGUAGGGGGCUAGCGUUGUCCGGAAUCAUUGGGCGUAAAGAGCGUGUAGGCGGUCCGGUAAGUCCGUUGUGAAAGUCAGGGGCUCAACCCUUGAAUGCCGGCGGAUACUGUCGGGCUAGAGUCCGGAAGAGGCAAGUGGAAUUCCCGGUGUAGCGGUGAAAUGCGCAGAUAUCAGGAGGAACACCGAUGGCGAAGGCAGGUCUCUGGGCCAUAACUGACGCUGAGAAGCGAAAGCAUGGGGAGCGAACAGG
rnacentral:rRNA from 1 species